AUUUUGGAGAGACAGUUUGAUCAGAUGACUAAGCCAGCUAGUCCAGCAAUCAAAGAACUUUCAGAACUUGUUAUACAAUGAAAAGUCAAAACUAAAUGGAGUAACCAUGAAUGUGUUGGAGAACUUCUCGACUCCAUGUCUCCACCAAUGAAUGCUAUCAUGGAUAACAAAUCAAAUCUCCUACGUGGAUACUUUCCGCCAAACGUCACCAGUAACAUCUCAGUAUCAAUCAUCCCAAUGUUUUGACUUUGCAGUUUUCAUCCUGAACACAGAAAAACGUUUGACAGGAAAAGUGACAAUAUACUCAAUACUGGAAUUUGAUCUCAACCUCAACAUUGCUUAUCUAAAUAGUUCCAAAAUUUACAGAUAUUAAUAAGGACUGGGGACCCCACCAGUGGCCUUGCAUAGGCUAGGGGUUUAAAAGAUGAAAUGGAAAUGCCCUCCCCCGAUAAUGAAAUUGAUGCUAUCCUAGAGCCUUCAUCCAGGGGCUGAUAUAAGCAGAGGCAGACACCCUCAGCUAAACACUGAACUGAACUCCUGGAAUCCAGUUGCAGAGAGGAAGGAGUGAAGAGCAAAGGGGUCAAGACCGAGCUACUGAAACCCACAGAAACUGCUGACUUGAACAAGGGGUGCUCAUGGACCCUAGACUGAUGGCUGGGAGACCAGUCUGGGACUGACCCAGAAUCCCUGAACAUGGGUGUAGGUUAGGAGGCCUCGGCGAUCUAUGGGGCCUCUGGCAGUGGAUCAGUAUUUAUCCCUGGAGUACAAAUGGACUUUGGCAGCCCAUUUCACGUGGAGGGAUGCUCUCUCAUCCUGGAUACAUGGGGGAAGCCCUAGGCCCUGCCCCAUACGGUAUGACAGACUUUAGGGAUCCCCCAUGGAGAGCCUCACUCUCCCUGGGGAGUGGAGAGAUGUCAUGGGGAAGGGGUUGGUGGGAGAUGGGGGAGAAGGGGAGGGAGAGGGAGCUGGGAUUGACAUGUGAAGCAGACUUGUUUCUAAUUUAAAUUUUAAAAAAGUGAUGAUUUUCCAUGUUUAAUGCACUUGGAUAUUCUAUUUUUGUAGAUAAUUCCAUUUGGUGAGAAUGGCUAUGCUUUAAAAUAGGUAACUUUAUUUGACAACCCAUGGCUUCUGGGAGGAGCAUUAAUCUCUGUGUUGGAAGUUAGAGUUAUAUUUUAUAGAUUAGUAAAUUGCUAUAUGGCUUUUCAAACAUCUCCAAUAUUUGUUAUCCUUCCCCAUCCCAUCCUCCUCCCUACCCUCACAACUUCCUCCAACAUAAACCUCCCUCCUUGUCAUUUCCCUAUUUUUAUAUAUUAAUUAGCUCAUAAAGUAGCAUGUUUCCACAUGGGAUUUCACUUGGUUGAUUUUCCUCUCUCAUUCUCCCUGUCCCUCCCUGUCACCAAUACUCCCCCUUCUACUUUAUUCUAUUACAGAAUCUCCAUAAGCCCUCUUUUUGUUAAUUCUCAUGACCCCUGUCUAGUUUCUUGGGCUUUGUCCGUGUUUACUUUCACUUGGAUGCACAUGUUUAACAGUUAAGGUCUAAGAAUUGUAUAUAAGAGAAAACAUAUGUCUUCCAAUGUUAU
rnacentral:lncRNA from 1 species